UGCGCCGCGUCCCCAGGACCCAGCAGAGUGCUCCAGCUCCCGCGGAGGAGGCUGCGGGCGGCGCCCCGGGAUAGGGACCCUGCAGCUCCAGGGAGUUGAACUUGUCAAAUUAAUGUCUACAGUGAUAUGUAUGAAACAAAGGGAAGAAGAAUUCUUGCUAACCAUCAGACCUUUUGCAAACAGGAUGCAGGUAACCCCACACCAUUAGGAUUGAGGCACAUGUGCUCACUUUAAAGCUGCUGGUAUUGUUCCUAAGAAGUUGCACAAGCCUGGGCUUUUAACUGAAGACAAACUUUUCACUGACAUAUAAAAAACUACAAAUGCUCUGGUAAUGUAAGCUGGAUCACAGUGAAAUCUCUAUAAUUUGAAUUAUGAGUUGAAUUCAAAUUGAAGUAUGAAAUCUAUGGCCAUUGUACUUUGUUAUUUCACUAAGAGUGCUAUAUGAGUAGCCAGAUUUACAACUGACAUCAGGUUUGUUUUGUAUCCAGGCUUAUGCACAACUUUUGUAAGCAGCAAUAGCAGUUUUGUGGGCACUUGAAAUGGGAGAGAAUUCUAAAGUCGCUGCCUCCUGUUAAACACCAAGAAUGGGGAGGAUUGCCUCUUAGUCCAGAGUAAAAGAUAUCUGAAUUAAAAACAAUGAGAAUUUUAACUUUAAAAGUCUGAUUCUGGAAACAACUACAGGCUACAACUU
rnacentral:lncRNA from 1 species